GUGUGUGUGUACACGUGUGCAUGCACAUGUGCAAUUUGAUUCCUUGCUCCUUUAGAGCUUAUGUGGUCACUUCCUUUUGUGUAAAGCAACAGCAGAGCGGGGAAAAAUUGCUUGGGUGAUAUUCUUUCUAUAGGUGAAAACGCCCCUAUGUAAAGCAAGGCCAAAGUACUAAGAAGUGUUUCAUGGAGCCAGCCACUGUCCAAGUGUCAGACACCCCUCAUUAGAAGAGUCUAUCAUUAUCUCUGACUAAAGGAACCUGCCUCCAGCUUCAUGAAUCUGUUGGUUCAAGACAAAAAAGUAAAGUCAACCACAUAGCUAUUUAAAAAGUGGAUGAGUCUUGUGUUUGCUGUGCCAUACUCUGCAUUCUCCUUCUUUUCUUUAUAUCCAUGACAAUUCAUCUGGGACUGUUCCUGUUCCCUUUAGUGGCUGCAGACGAAUUCUGAAGUUACCUUUUUCCACUAGAUAUCCACCAAGUUCUGAGACAGGAACUCCUGCGGCUGAGCUGUGGGUAAACUGCAUUGAUUGCAACUUCUGUAAUCCGACUUGGUCCACCCCUGUCAUCUUGAUAAGUCAAACUCCUUUUGCCACUUCUUUUGUUGAUGUUACGAGCCUGGUUUUUUAAAGUUGUGGGGGAAAAAAAAGGUACUAUUUUUCAGCCUGUGAAUGACAGAUUUUUCACAGGGAUUUGCCUUUAACUUCUUUCAUGCUCUCCUGAAAUUAAUUUUUCUCAGUCUGAUGUUUCUAAAUUGCCUCUCUUCUAGUUCUUACAUUGUGCUUCUCUUUUGCUGAUGUGCUGAAGUGCACAAUUUGAACUUUUUUGUUUUGGUUUUGUUUUUCAAAACUUCAAGGAAAAGAAUAAUCUCCUCUAGUUGUCGAAGUUUACAUCAGGAGGAAGCAAACUGUACCCUAGGUCUGCUCCAUUCAUUAUAACCUUGGCAUUUUGAAUAUUAAAACCAAGAUAAGUAAAUUGACCAUAGUAUUUUUGACAUAACAUUAACGUAAGAGUGAAGAAGGUUAUUCCUCAGGUUUGUUCUACAGAUUUAUGUUUCAGGAAUUUGCAAUGGGUUCAUGUUGAUUUUACCCGAAAGUCUCCACAGAAAUCUUUUUUAAGAAUUUAAACUUACAUAUUCCUGACACACUGCAUCCCUUCCAAGUUUGUUUGGUGAUGCAGGAAAUUUUUCAAAUUUCUCUAGUGUAAGUUUCUUCACUUCACAGUAUUUUUUUUCUUCCCUUUCUGUUCUGUUCAUGAACAGAAGAAGAUUGAAUUAGUCUUAUCAGCUGAAACAAUAUGAUCUUUAUGAUUUCUGAAAUUUAAGCCAAGGGAGUAGAAAUGUAAUGGUGUCUACUUGUCAAGAUAGAUGGAAAUGUGAAAUUCAAACAAGGGAUCAUUGAGGAAUGCUAUUUUUAUUACAAGAUAUUUAUUUAACUAUACAAUAUUUUCUUCCUUCUGAGGUACCAUUAGAUAUAUAAUAUAAAGUAAGAAAAAAAAUGUUUAUUAUAUCAAUCUUCUUUUAUAAUAAAUUUAUCAAGUAGAAAGUGCA
rnacentral:lncRNA from 1 species